rnacentral:lncRNA from 1 species
GGCGGGACAAAGGGUCGCGAUCUCGCGAGGGUGAGCUAACUCCAAAAACCCGUCCUCAGUUCGGAUUGCAGGCUGCAACUCGCCUGCAUGAAGCAGGAAUCGCUAGUAAUCGCCGGUCAGCCAUACGGCGGUGAAUCCGUUCCCGGGCCUUGUACACACCGCCCGUCACACUAUAGGAGCUGGCCAGGUUUGAAGUCAUUACCCUUAACCGUAAGGAGGGGGAUGCCUAAGGCUAGGACGGGAAUUAUCCUUCAGAGCUACACUUCGCCAACUACUCUUGGAGCAUGUUGACCAAUAGCUAUGGGCUUGGUACACCAAAUUACGGAGGCUAUUGUCAUGAGUUUUUGUGCACUGAGUUCCAGAAGCUCCACCAACAGGCUUGGUACAUCGAAUUUCGAAGGCUACAGCCACGGGUUUGGUGCACAGAGUGCUGGAGGCCUGAAGCAGCUACACCCUAAGGAGUGACAAAUCUUAUACAUGGCAACACGCGCUUUUCUCACCAAAAGUCAGAAAAGACUACUUUACAUACAAUCGCGCAUGUUUUUAUCAUAAUGUCGACUACUUUUUUUUUACUUUUACUGUCUUCUUUUAGUGGUCACUAAUUUACUCGAGCAGAACACGUCUUAAUUUGUGGUAGUCUCAGAUCUUCUGUCAUGCCUAAAUGCUAGGACGCAAGACAAAGAUCUCUGUAGCAGCAGUGCCAGUACGCGUACAUGAGACAGAUCUCACAUGCAGUGGCAAUGGCUAAACAUAGACUGAGAGCCUAAACAUAAUAGGCUAACUACUUGGGAAUAAUAUAGCCAAAAUAAGAGCAUGACGCACAACAUUUACAUUACACUAAAUAAAUUUCAGUAGUUCCAAUAUUCUACAAAUAUGCUAUAUAAUGUAUGCAUAUCUUUUUUAAGUUAAGUUUUGGCGACAACUCUCCAGGACGCUCAGCGUACCUUCAAUGGCUCCGUUAGCUCCCAGGCUCGGGGGCCAAGCACCAAUUACUACUCGGAAUAUCUCUAAUGGCUCAGCUAGGUUCCAAGUUCGGGGGCUAAGCGCCAAAUAACUAUUCAACGUGGCUCCUACGGCUUACAUGGCGCAUAAGCUCGGGGGCUGGACGCCAAAUGACUACUUGAAAGACAACUUGCGUGAAGACUAAAGACCCUCGGAUUGAUUAUUUAAUCGUUUCAAGGCUCGGGGGUUGAUAAGCUACACCCAACAGUUGAUUUUUUCAAUAUGAAAGAAGAAGAUUCAAAGAUUUUAUUGACCCUCAGUCUGAUUCUUUGAUUCAACCUAAGGUUCGGGGGCUACUCCAUAGGAGUGCAACUUUCGCCGCCCUCCAUAUCAUAUUCCAAAGAUGAAGAUUACAAAAUCAAGACUAUCAAGGCUUGAGCACACCAUAGCCUCAUAGCAGCUUUGAGGAACUUUGAAGAUUCAGCCAGACAAAGUACUCGAAGAGCACCAAAACUACUCCGCGAGGAUCUGAAAAGUACUCGAAGGCUGCUACACUCGACUAUGAAGCGCUCGGGGGCUUGUCGGGAAUACAUCCCCAGUACCUGCAAGGAAGGAAGAAGACGGACUCCAACUAGUAUUCCCCUAUAAUCCUAUUAGGACUCAUACCAUAUAAUCCUACUAGAACUCCUACUUGUAACUGUAACCGACUAGUAAUCCCGCCCCCUGGAGUAUAUAAAGGAGGGUAGGGGUCCUUAGAUCGGUAGGCCAAUACCUCAUAGAACCACAAUAAAGGACCAAAUCCUCAACACCAAACAACACUCAAGCGCAGGACGCAAUAUACAACACCCCACACAGGACGUAGGGUAUUACACAAUCUAGUGGCCCGAACUUGUAUAAAUCCGUAUCAUGUGUCCUCGCUUUUUACCUUCGAGUUCCAGAUUCGACGACCCCCCACCAACUAAUCUACUACCUCAGUAUACCACUCGGUAGGUUGCCGGGUAUAAAACACCGACACCCACACCUCAACUUCUCAAAUACAGUAGCAUUGUUAAAAAAAUCUAGUAUUAUUUUUAAGACAUGCAUGUCAGAAAAUCAUACAUACAGUCACAUGAAAAUGAUUGAGGUAUAUGAUGUGAACAGAGUUGUUGAAGAGAUUUCAUUAUCUUUUGGUUCAGUUCACCUAGAGCAAGAAAACAGUGCACAUCACAAGGCAGACCACGUACUGCUUGCUUGGUUAGUUUUUACCCCACACAUGCAUGCUUAGAUCCUACUGCUAAUUCAAAUUAAUUCCAAGGGAAAAAACUAAAAAAGAAAGAGGUUUAACCUAAUAAACACAUGCGAACUGGUCAAAGAUGCCUACCUUGUUAGUCAAUAGAGCUUACCCAUGCAAAUAACCCAUUCCUGCCUAGUAAUUCACCACCCAAAAGAAACUGAUUUCCGUCCUCAACGUACCAUCAAGAGAGCCGGCCAAAGCCAGAAGCAUUGAGAAAUGCAAAAUCAAGAGGAGCCGGCCAAAACGAAAAGCAUCGAGAAAUGCAAGUCCAAGGACUUAAACUAGAACAACGCACCGGCCUCCUAGGCGUUGGAGACCUCGCAUGGCUGGCCAUUUCCACCUCACAACAACUGUGUUUUCUCUCAUUUCGUCAACUCUUUUGAGCUGCAUCACUGUCGUUCUUGCUUGACCUCUAUCUCUCUCGUAAAUUAGACAAAGUUUGGUAAAAAAAAACAUCUAAAAACAAAGUUUGGCACAACAUGGAAGCUAGUACUACUCUAUUGCUCUAUAUUGAAACUGCGAUAUCUAUUACUAUAUUAGACAUCACUAAGCUCCUAAGAAAAAAGUAUAAUAAAAUAUCCUAGACCUAGAAAAGGUCCAAACUAUUUAAUUAUUUAAUUUUUCGGAGUAGAAUCUUCCGCUAAAAAAAAUGUCCUACCCCACUUGACCAGGAAACCAAUUUCGAUAAUAAAUAAUUAUAAUGGAGAGCCGUCUCUUUCGUAGAAGGCUAGCUAGCUAGCACCAACCAGUAAGCUAUCGUGCAUGGACUGUCUGAUCGCAGAUCGCAUCGGUGUCUUCCAAUUAAUAUUCGGUCAGCUCACCCUCAUCAUCGCCGUGUGGACUUGCACACGUCUUUGAAUCCAUCCUCUCUCUCUCGUCUCCUGCUCAGCCCAUAUAUGUAUAAAGAGAACGCCAUUUUUCCCGAUCGAGCUCUUCUUUGUCCACUCGCCUGCAACAGCUCGACACUACCCAUCCGACAUCUGUUCUCAUCUUCUCCAUCUGUUCGGGCUUCAGCACCACCUCUAGCUAGUUAACCAUGGAGGAGGAGACGCAGCCGAAGGUGGAGGUGCCUUGCUACUUCUUGUGCCCCAUCUCCCUGCAGAUGAUGCGCGACCCCGUGACUCUCCCCAGCGGCAUCACCUACGAUCGCGACGGCAUCGAGCGGUGGCUGCUCACCGCCGGCACCUGCCCGCUCACCAAGCAGCCCGUGCCGGCCGACUGCGAGCCCACGCCCAACCACACGCUGCGCCGCCUCAUCCAGUCGUGGAGCGCGCUCCACGCCGCCGCGGGCGUCGAGCGCGUCCCGACGCCCAAGCCCCCCAUCGACCGCGCCCGUGUCGCCGAGCUGGUCUCGCGGAUCGCCGCCACCAGCAGGCCAACGGCGCCGCAAGAGCUCCUCGCCGCGCUGCGCGAGCUCAGGGACGUGGUGGCCGAGAGCGAGAGGAACCGGAAGCUCGUCGCCGCCGUCCCCGCCGCGGUGGACGUUUUGGCGACCGUGUUCGUCGCGUCGGCGGCGACAAAGGCGGAAAGCGUUGCCGUCUGUGACGAGGCGCUCGAGAUCAUCUCCUCGCUCCAGCUCUCGGAACAGUGCCUGGCCCGUGUCAUCUUCGAGACGAACGAGGCGCUCGUCGAUGCGCUCGUCUCCGUUCUGCAGCGAUCCAACACGGCGUCCAGGGCGCACGCGGCGCUGAUUCUCCAGAACGUUACGGCCGCCAUGUCGCCGAGCAGGCUCGUGUCCCUGCCGGAGCAGGUGUUCGGGGAGGUGGUGCAGCUGAUCCGCGACGAGGUAUCCAAGGCUGCGACCAAGGCGGCGCUGCACGUGCUCGUGGGCACGACGUCGUGGGGCCGCAACCGCGUCAAGGCGGUGGACGCCGGCGCGGUGCCGGUGCUCGUGGACAUACUCCUGGACGCGCCGCAGCGGCGCGCGUGCGAGCUGGCGCUGGGCGCGCUGGACAGGCUGUGCGGGUGCGCGGAGGGUCGCGCCGCGCUGUUGGCGCACGGCGCCGGCGUGGCGACCGUCGGCUGGAAGGCCUUUAGGGUGUCGGACGUGGCCACCGACAAGGCGGUGCGGGUGCUGCGGUCGGUGGCGAGGCACGCGGCCACGCCGGCGGUGGUGCAGGAGAUGGCGCACACCGGCGUCGUGGGAACGCUCUGCGCGGUGGCGCUGUCGGAGUACUGCGCCGAGAGGACGAGGGAGCGGGCACGGGAGACGCUCCGGCGGCAUGCCAGGGCCUGGAGGACCUCGCCUUGCCUGCAUCACCACCUCCAGGCCAUGUACCCUUGCUAACACCCCACGCCAUUGGACGACUCUGAGCAAGGAAAUGCUAAGCCUGAGUGCAUCCGUCGCAGAGGAGUUGAGCUUUUCUUUUCUUUUUUUCAACCUGUCGAUCUGUUGGUGUAGUUCUAGCUGCUAAUUGAGGUGUACAAAGACGGGCAUAAUUAAAGUGGGAUCGAUAGAGGAGAAGAAUCGGCUCGAUCGAGUUUUUCUUAAUGAUAUCCUCUAUUUGCUGCAAAUUAUAGAUCAUUUUGGUUUUUCUAAAUAUAUACUCCAUCCGUCCCAAACUACAUAUCUAAGUGCAUAUCAAAAGCUAUGUAUUUAAAAAAUCCAAAACGAAUAAUAAUUUGGGACGGAGGGAGUAGUUUUAUUAUGUAGUUAAAUAUAAUAUAUCUAGGUGCAUAGCAAAAGUUAUGUAUCUAGAAAAAUCAGAAUGAUUUAGCGGUGAAAACUAGUGAGGAGAUGACUUACUGGAUAUAUAAGUCAUUAAUGGAUGAUCUUCCACUGCAACUAUAAAAAUCGUCCGAGCCAGGUAACCCCGACAAACACCCUUGCAUCAGCUCCUACUUUAUUAGGUUUUCACUACCAUUUUAAGUUGCUAACUUCCAUAUUUACCCUCCAUCUCGUCACCAUAGUUGGAACCCUACUGCCACCGAGCUUCCUUCCUCCUCCUCUUGAUCUCGCUAAGCUCCGCCAGAACCCUACGCUCAGUUUUGCGUGAAAAGGCUUGAAAGCUCAAGCCCCAAAGCAGCUAGCUAACUAACCAACAAGCUAGACAAUACAGUACAAGGAUACCAAACAAGCUCGAAGCUUUACUACCACAUACCUGCUUGGAGGGACAGCCAACAUCAGAGAGAGCUCCCUCCCUCUCCGUUUUGCAGGUGGUGGGUGAACGAGAUGGCUCCUGUUUGGCCCUUUUCUCAUCUGGGGCUCUUUUUUUUUUGAGAAAACUCACCAUGGGCUCCUGUAUAGGCCUUAUCUCAGCCCAACGCGUUGAUAGAAGGCCCAUCUGCACGUAUUCCCCCUUCGUUUUCCUCCCCUCCUGAACAGAACAGCAGCUCACGCCACAAUCGCCUGUUCAUCUCCUAGCGCUGGCUCCAAUGGGCAAUGGCGGCAUGGCGCCCGGGGCUGGGACUUGGGAGCUGUCAGAGGGUACAGGUUUUUAGGUGGGCCGCCGCGAGCAGCUGACGAGACAAAACAGGCAGCGCUCAGCCGCGUGGGCGGCUGAUGCCAGGCACAAAUGCACGACCACCUCGCCGCCCUCCUCCGCAGCGGCGGCGGCGGUGGCCGCCGCGCGCAAUCCGUUCAUGGCGCGGCCAUCAAGCUCGGAUGCAUUGCCUCCACCUUCCUCUGCAACAACAUCCUCCUUGCCUACCUCCGCCACCCCGUCCCCGUGGACGCCCGCAAGCUGUUCGACGAAAUGCCGCGCCGCAACGUCGUGUCCUGGUCCGUCCUCAUCUCCGGCUCCGCCCGCCUCGGAGCCCUCGCGGAGGCGUUUGCUCUGUUCUCCGACAUGCUCCGCGGUGCGGGGCGGGGAAACUGGGAGCGCCCGGACUCGUUCGUGCUCGGGGGCCUGGCCGCCGGGUGCGCCCACGCAAGAGACAUUUCCGCGGGCGCGCAGGUGCACGCCUGUGCGGUCAAGUUUGGCGUCGACGAGGACGAGAGCGUUGCGGCGGCAUUGGUGGACAUGUACGCCAAGUGCGGCUGGGUGGACUUGUCAUGGCGGGCAUUCACGUUGGCGCCGCAGCGAAGUGUAGUGAGCUGGACGAGCAUGAUUGCCUGUCUGGUCAACCAAGGUUCGUAUGGUUACCAUGAUACUGCGCUUGUGCUGUUCAAGAAAAUGCUGGUACUGAAGGUUUGGCCUACCAAUGCGACGUUUUCUUGCAUCCUCAAGGUGUUUGAUGUGCCUGAGUUGCUACCUGUUGGAAUGCAAGUUCAUGGCUGCUUGCUGAAGAUGGGGACCGAAGUAGACACUGCUUUAGGGAGCGCCCUGAUGACAAUGUAUGGCAGAUGUGGCGGAGUUGAUGAGAUAGCUAGGUUGGCUUCUCGUAUAAGGCAUGAUUCAUUUUCAAGGACUUCCCUGCUUGGAGCGUAUGCACGGAAUGGAUACAAUGUGGAGGCCGUUGGGGUUUUCAGGGAGAUGAUAGUGGAAAAUAUGACAAUCGACCAGUCUGCUAUGACUAGUUUGCUGCAGGUCUGUUCAUCCAUUGGACACCUGAGAAUGGCUAGGGAGGUACAUUGUUAUGCUUUAAAAACUUUCUUCAUGUUGGAUACUGUACUGCUGAAUGCUACCAUCACUGUUUAUAGCAGAUGUGGUGAUAUCACUGCUGCUGAAACGGUAUUUAAUCUAAUGGGAAAAAAGGACAUCAUAUCAUGGACAGCAUUGUUAACCUGCUAUGCUCAAAACGGUCUUGCUCAAGAGGUACUCGUGUUCUUUAGGGAGAUGCUUCGGAGAGGGUUAGGAUCUCCAGUAUUUUGCAUCACUGGUGUGCUACGAGCCUGUUCUACCACCUCAAAUCUUGCUGCUGGGUUGCAAAUCCAUUCAAGGGCUCUGAAGCUAGGUAUCGAUGAUGAUACUUCUGUGGAGAAUGCACUUGUCACCCUGUAUGCCAGUUGUGGAAGUGUUCAGAUUGCAUGGAAGAUAUUUAACUCAAUGAGCAAUAGAGGCAUCAUCUCGUGGAAUUCACUACUCACAAGUUUUUCACAGCAUGGCAAUGAGGUUGCAGCCAUUCAGCUAUUUGAUAUGAUGCAAGAAGCGGGGGUCUGCCCUGACGAUUUCACUUUUGCUGGCCUGCUGUCAUCUUGCAGCCGGAUGGGCCAUGUAUCACAGGGUUGUGUGUACUUCAAACAAAUGAAGGAAAAAUACAACAUGGAGCCCAAGAUGGUGCAUUAUACCUGCAUGGUUGAUCUAUUUGCUCGUGCUGGAAGAUUCUCUGAUGCAAUGGACUUCAUUGAUGCCAUGCCUUGUGAACCAGACCAAAUAGUGUGGGAAGCUUUGUUAGCUUCAUGUAAGGUUCAUGGUAAUGUGGAGUUAGGAAGAAUAGCAGCUAGGAAGAUUCUAGAAAUUAGACCAGAGGAUCCUUCACCGUACAUUAUAUUGUCAAGCAUUCAUGCUUCGGUUGACAUGUGGGAUGAGAAAGCCUGGAACCGCAGUGUGUUUGAUACCCAGCGAGCAAGAAAGAAUGUUGGUCGUAGUUGGAUUGGUGCACAAGAAUUAUCAGAGAAUAUUUUUGAUGCGUUACAAGUUGGAGUAACAUAAGAUGUGGAAGAUUGUUGAUAGUGCUUUUCUUCUGAAACACUACAGGGAGUUUACUUGCCAUAGUCGCAGUGAAGCAUAGUGGACUCAAUCAUAAGAAAUCAACUAACUGAACAAAGAUAUCCAUGAGUGCAAGCAAAGCAUGGUGCCAAUGUUUUGCAUCCUAGACUCCUAGAGAACUGACUAUGUCGUAUCAUCACUGAGAAAAAAAACGAUAUAGUCCUGGUGCAAAAGGCUUUUUUAUCCUUUCUCUGGUGUACAGGACACAGUUGUUUUUCUCGAACACAGCAGGAGAGCUGCGUAUCAAUAUAUUAAGGAUACAGGACACAGUUGUAAACUUUCAGCGUAUCAUGAUUGAAGGUGUGGCAUUUUACGAUGCUGCCAAUGUUGUAAACUGCACCUAGGGUGCUCCAAGCGUGGAAAAUAUAGUGAUACUUUUUUCUUUAUUGUCAGCCAACAUUUUCGAUGAUGUUGAAAACACAGAGAUGCAUAUUCUUGCGUGAAAGCAGACAAAUGCUAUAUGGACGGCGAGGCUUCAAAACCUUCGAUGGGAGGUUAGUACGAGCACAGUCCAUCUCUUCAUUGAUAUAUUUUCUGGUUUCUAAUUAAUUACUAUUUUCUGGUUACUAUUAUGUAGUAACAUGCUAAAUACUCCUGGCUCAUGAACUAUUUUCUGGUUUCUAAUUAAUUACUAUUUUCUGGUUACUAUUAUGUAGUAACAUGCCAAAUACUCCAGGCUCAUGAGCACCGGUACCUGCUUGUCAGAAGUCAUUACAUGCUUAGUAAUUUUGUACUGAUACAAUCAAUUAUACUCGAGUAUGUUGUAGCCUAUUGAGUAUUAACUCAACUAACUUUUAUUUUAUGGUAGCACAACCACUUUUAUGCGUCAUCUUCAGUUUAUGUUCAAAACACAUACUUCUGAGUAUUAUGGCUUGUAGGGUAUAUUUAAGUUUGCAUAGGUGAACUUGAAAAAUGUUUAGCGUUUUGUUAAAUUUUUACCUGGCUGCAGAGCUGAUCAGCCAUGAAGAAAUCAACCAUGAAAACCUGCAUAUGUAACCUGAAAUAUGAAAACAUACCUUGUUCUUUUAGAAGUGCUUAUAUGUGAUAAAUUUCAGGAUACAGCAUCAGGACAAAGAAAGAGAAAUGAGCAGAAACCUUGUCGAAUUUCUUUAGGAUCUUCACAAAGGCAAUCAUGUUCAAGCUCCUGCAACAAGCGUGCUAUCCUUGUCAAUAUCCACAUGACAAAUAGUUGAACUAUAAGCCAUAUUGCGAAGUGAGCUAUGGGUACUGGUAAAGCAUCCCUGAUCUCCUCUGCCUGGUGCACCUUCCUCUCAACUUCUCAUUGCCAUUGCUACCAUGCGUGCCAGUCCUGUUUGAUUGGCUCUAACAGCAGUUCGCGUAUGGCACAUGGCUUGACAAGUCUCCCUGAUUCACCAAGACCUUGAGGGAUGGAGAGCUGGUCCUCAAGUCCUAAAUCAGUGCUUUGGUCAGUUUUUCUUCGCCAUCGUCUUCUUGCUCCACAAUCCGCCUUAGAGAUUGGUCUCCUGUAAUUUUUGACCUGAUAUGUCGGGCAGGGUUAACGUAUUGUUCACAAAGUGUAUUGCCCGAACUAAAUAAAAUCAGAGUUGGCACAAUGUCCUCACUAAACACUGGCAUGCUUACGAGUUAUUCAAAGACCUCAUCCGGAUGGGCGAGCACAGGAAAUUAAAGCACCAAGGUCUCGGUGUUGCUGGAUCAUCACACCUCAUCCGGAUGCUUCCAUCCCUUGAUGGUAAUGAAACGGUCAAUGUCCUUGACAUGGCGUGGCUGCGUUGGUCAGAGAUUUCUGCUUACGGGACCGACUGACAGCUCCAUCCAGCUGCGCUCAUUCGUCAAUCAAAGUAUAAUGGUACGGUCCCCGCAGCGAGUUGAAGCAGAUUCAACAGAGCAGUCUCGUUUUCUGAUGCCAGGCCGUCACGGUUCCAAAAUUAAGAGUGGCUGGAUGCAUUCUUCAUCCCAUGGCUUGCAGGCAAGGACGACGUCGCCAGCAAACAAGCAUGGUGGCCGGGUCCGGCAGCAGAUCACAAAUGAGAUGAGGAGGAAGAUCAUGAAAACGACCAGCAUGCAUGGAGACGAGCAGUGCUUGACUGUCGACUGCACCAACUUGCCUUCCUACUCUGUAUGUAUCAGCCAUUCAGCCUCCUCCUUCCGUUUCAAAUUAUAAGUCGUUUUAACUUUUCUAGGUUCAUAAAUGUUAUUAUGCAUCUAGACAUACAGCUGCAUAGCAAAAACUAUGCACCUAGAAAAGGUAAAAUAACAUAUGAUUUGGAACGGAUGGAUUACUGUACUUGUUUUUCAUAUGAUUGCAUGGUGCACUCAAUAUUUUGGUAUCGUUGCACCAAUCAUAUAAUAUCUCGUCAACAGCUUGAAUGUCCUGCCACAAGAGCAUUGCUUGCCUACCCAGCAACUAUACCAUGGGAUGGGAUACUCAUCUGCACGUUAGUAUUUGAAUUUUUUUUUCUUCUGUACGUAUGCCAUGGCAACUGAACAAGCUGAUGACAAGCCCGAAUAAAACAGUAGCGAAGCCAAUAUAAAUAUAUAAUAGCCAGAAAAAAAAACUCGAUUGAACGAAUUCUUCGACUUGAUCUAUCUCACUUUUAAUUAUCUGUCUUUGUACACCUCUAUUCACAGCUACAAGGGCGGUUUACUCUGCAAUGGCGGCGUGGCGGUGUUAGCAAGGGUACAUGGCCCGGAGGUGGUGGUGCAGGCACGGCGAGGUCCUCCACGACAUGGCAUGCCGCCGGAGAAUCUCCUGCGCUCGCUCCCUCGUCCUCUCCCCGUAGUGCUCCGACAGCGCCACCGCGCAAAGCGUGCCCACGACGCCGGUCUGCGCCAUCUCCUGCACCACCGCCGCCUUGGCCGCGUGCCUCGCCACCGACCGCAGCACCCGCACCGCCUUAUCGGUGGCCACGUCCGACACCCUAACGGCCUUCCCGCCCACGGCCGCCACGCCGGCGCCGUGCGCCACCAGCUCGGCGCGCCCCUCCGCGCACCCGCACAGCCGGUCCAGCGCGCCCAGCGCCAGCUCGCACGCGCGCCGCUCCGGCGCGUCCAGGAGCAUGUCCACGAGCACCACCACCGCGCCGGCGUCCACCGCCUUGACGCGGUUGCGGCCCCACAACGUCGCGCCCACGAGCACGUGCAGCGCCGCCUUGGUCGCGGCCUUGGAUACUUUGUCGCGGAUCAGCUGCACCACUUCCCGGAACACCUGCUCCGACAGGGACACGAGCCUGCUCGGCGACAUGGCGGCCGUCACGUUCUGCAGAAGCAGCGCCGCGCGCGCCCUGGACGCCGUGUUGGAUCGUUGCAGAACGGAGACGAGCGCGUCGACGAGCGCCUCGUUCGCCUCGAAGAUGACACGGGCCAGGCACUGCUCCGAGAGCUGGAGCGAGGAGAUGAUCUCGAGCGCAUCGUCGCAGACGGCAACACUUUGUGACUUUGUCGCCGCCGACGCGACGAACACAGCGGCCAAAACGUCAACCGCGCCGGGAACAGCAGCGACGAGCUUCCUGCUCCGCUCGCUCUCGGCCGCCACGUCCCUGAGCUCGCGCAGCGCGGUGAGGAUCUCUUGCGUCGCCGUUGACCUGCUGGUGGCGGUGGCGCCGAUCCGCGAGACCAGGGCGGAAACACGGGCGCGGUCGGUGGGGGGCUUGGGCGUGGGGACGCGCUCGACGCCGUCGGCGGCGUGGAGCGCGCUCCAGGACUGGAUGAGGCGGCGCAGCGUGUGGUUGGGCGUGGGCUCGCAGUCGGCCGGCACGGGCUGCUUGGUGAGCGGGCAGGUGCCGGCGGUGAGGAGCCACCGCUCGAUGCCGUCGCGGUCGUAGGUGAUGCCGCUGGGGAGCGUCACGGGGUCGCGCAUCAUCUGCAGCGAGAUGGGGCACAAGAAGUAGCAAGGCACCUCCACCUCCUCCAUUAUAUUGGUACCAAAGGCCUUGCCUUCAGCCUAAAUAGAUGAUGAAGAAGAGAACAAUGGAGCAGACUGUAGUAGAGUUGUUGCGGGCGAGUGGACAGAGAAGAGCUUGAGCAAAGUGGUGUGUGCUCUGCUCUUUAUAUGAGCAGGAGAUGCGAGAACACUGGAGAAGGGGAGGAUGGAUUCAAAGACGUGUGCGGUCGCUGAGCAUGAUCUGCGAUCAGGCGGUCCAUGCACGAUAGCUUACUGGUUGGUGCUACCUAGCCUUCUACUCAUUUGUAAUUAUUAAUUCUCGAGAUUGAUUUCCUGGUCGACUGUGGUAUGUAAGGCAAUUUUUUAGUGGAAGAUUCUUCUCCAAAAGUUGAAUAAUACUGUAUUAUACUUUUGUUAGGAGCUAAGUGAUGUCUUAUUAGUAAUACAUCUUGCACUUUCAAAAUAGCUUUCAUUUUGAGAUGUUUUUGUGCCCAAACGUUGUCUAAUUCCCGAGAGAGAUCGAGGUCAAGCAUGGACGACAGAUAUUAUGUGUCGGGUACAAAUUAACCAAGCAGGUACGUGGGCUGACUUGUGGUGUGCACUGUUUUCUUGCUCUAGGUGAACUGAACCAAAAGAUAAUGAAAUCUCUUCAACAACUCUGUUCACAUCAUAUACCUCAAUCAUUUUCAUGUGACUGUAUGUACGAUUAUCUGACAUGCACGUCUUGUAUACCAUUUUUGUACAUCCCUAUAUGUUUGAGACGUUGAAUAAGUUGAGGUGAGCGAAAUGUUUUGCGGUUUCACUACGGCUAGCUGCUGUUUGCAAUGCAACCAAGCGGGUUUGAGGUGCAGAGAGAAGGUGUAGUGCUAGAAUACUAGUGUGGACAAGUGAAUAGGACAUGACGUGUUCCGAUGAGAAAAGUAAUGAAUAGGACACGGGAAAUAUGCCAAAACUUUGGCAAACGGUUGUAGGUCUCGUUUUGUGGUCAGUCAGUCACCCUGCUGUGUUCUAACUCGUAAUAUGAUUAAUUUGUGUGUUGGUUUUGACUUGAUAGAUGAGACGCAACAAGAGGCUUUGCUGUCUCAUCUGUCAAACGGCCUGAACGCAUAUGCAAAGACAAAGGCAGACAAGCUAGAAAUAUAAUGUGGUUGUGACGAGCGAGGGGACAAACAAAACACUUAUGUAGUAUAUCGAUCGGUAGACUCAAAGAUGCUUACUCCUCUUCUUCCUCUUGUCAGUGGGACCGGUGGACCCCAAGUGUUAUUGUUGAUGAAUCAGCACUGCAGCUCUUGUCAGUGGCACUCACAUGUCAAAACAUCGACUCACACGUUUGCAUCAAAAAGAGAUGUAAUAAGGAUCAGGUAGAUAGUCAUCAGCGCAGCUCUAUCUUAGGAUCAAAUUUUUGGUUCGUUUGGUUGUGCUUCAAUUGUGGUACAUAGGCUCGCAAACAAUGUAGAGGCACUGCAAUUAUAUAUUAUUCAUUCACAGCUAACUAACGUAAUAUUCGAGCAUGCGGUGGAGCGCAGCCUCCGAGACGUCGACGUUGGACAGGUAGAGGGAGUGGAGGCGGGGCAGAGUCGUCGUCUCGUCGCCGGCCAUGUGUUGGAGCUCCAGGCGCCGGAGAGAGUGCGCUAGCCGGUAGAAGGGCACCAGCACGGAAACCCAGUGGGAAGGGAACCUGAGGGCAAG